AUGUUUUCAAAAGGUUUGAUUUUCUUUGUGAUUGUGGGUUUGAAAAGUUUUUAUUUGAAACUUCGAUAUAACUCUUGUUUCUGUCCUCAAGAGUGUAAUGAAGUGUUUUUGAAAACUUUGUUUGUAAAAGUGUAUGUGCGAAAAGUUUUGUUUUGUUUAAAAGAGAGCAAGUACUUAAGAAUAUCUACCUACUCAACAAGGAAUUAA